AGUGAACGCUGGCGGCAGGCCUAACACAUGCAAGUCGAACGGCAGCACAAGAGAGCUUGCUCUCUGGGUGGCGAGUGGCGGACGGGUGAGGAAUGCAUCGGAAUCUGCCCAUUUGUGGGGGAUAACCUCGGGAAACCGGGACUAAUACCGCAUACGACCUACGGGUGAAAGCAGGGGAUCUUCGGACCUUGCGCAGAUGGAUGAGCCGAUGCCGGAUUAGCUAGUUGGAGGGGUAAAGGCCCACCAAGGCGACGAUCCGUAGCUGGUCUGAGAGGAUGAUCAGCCACACUGGGACUGAGACACGGCCCAGACGCCUACGGGAGGCAGCAGUGGGGAAUAUUGGACAAUGGGCGCAAGCCUGAUCCAGCCAUGCCGCGUGUGUGAAGAAGGCCUUCGGGUUGUAAAGCACUUUUGUUGGGAAAGAAAAGCAGCCGGUUAAUACCCGGUUGUCAUGACGGUACCCAAAGAAUAAGCACCGGCUAACUUCGUG
rnacentral:rRNA from 1 species